UACGAAGGGGGCUAGCGUUGCUCGGAAUCACUGGGCGUAAAGGGUGCGUAGGCGGGUCUUUAAGUCAGGGGUGAAAUCCUGGAGCUCAACUCCAGAACUGCCUUUGAUACUGAGGAUCUUGAGUUCGGGAGAGGUGAGUGGAACUGCGAGUGUAGAGGUGAAAUUCGUAGAUAUUCGCAAGAACACCAGUGGCGAAGGCGGCUCACUGGCCCGGUACUGACGCUGAGGUGCGAAAGCGUGGGGAGCAAACGGG
rnacentral:rRNA from 1 species